rnacentral:pre_miRNA from 2 species
GUUGAGGGGAAUGUUGUCUGGUUCAAGAGCACCCAACUCUCCAUCUAUUUUGAUCUGUUUCGAGCCUAAAAACUGAUUAGCUUUCAAGAUCAAUCGAAAGAUAGUCUUAUUCCCUGUUUAAUUUGUGCUCUUGGACCAGGCUUCAUUCCCCUUAAU